UACAGAGGGUGCGAGCGUUAAUCGGAAUUACUGGGCGUAAAGCGUGCGUAGACGGUUAUUUAAGUCGGGUGUGAAAGCCCCGGGCUCAACCUGGGAAUUGCAUUCGAGACUGAAUAGCUAGGGUACGGUAGAGGGAAGUGGAAUUUCCGGUGUAGCGGUGAAAUGCGUAGAUAUCGGAAGGAACAUCAGUGGCGAAAGCGGCUUCCUGGACCAGCACCGACGUUCAGGCACGAAAGCGUGGGGAGCAAACAGG
rnacentral:rRNA from 1 species